rnacentral:rRNA from 1 species
AUUGAACGCUGGCGGAAUGCUUUACACAUGCAAGUCGAGCGGCAGCGCGGGGGCAACCCUGGCGGCGAGCGGCGAACGGGUGAGUAACAUAUCGGAACGUACCCCGUCGUGGGGGAUAACACAGCGAAAGCUGUGCUAAUACCGCAUACGACCUGAGGGUGAAAGCGGGGGAUCGCAAGACCUCGCGCGAUGGGAGCGGCCGAUAUCGGAUUAGCUUGUUGGUGAGGUAAAGGCUCACCAAGGCGACGAUCCGUAGCUGGUCUGAGAGGACGACCAGCCACACUGGAACUGAGACACGGUCCAGACUCCUACGGGAGGCAGCAGUGGGGAAUUUUGGACAAUGGGGGCGAACCCUGAUCCAGCCAUUCCGCGUGAGUGAAGAAGG